rnacentral:tRNA from 1 species
GAGGGUAUAGCUCAAGUGGUAGAGUACAUGCUUAGCAUGCAUGAGGUCCUGGGUUCAAUCCCCAGUACUUCCU